AGCGGCGGAUGGGUGAGUAACACGUGGGGAACCUGCCUCUAAGUCUGGGAUACCAUUUGGAAACAGGUGCUAAUACCGGAUAAUAAAGCAGAUCGCAUGAUCAGCUUUUGAAAGGCGGCGUAAGCUGUCGCUAAGGGAUGGCCCCGCGGUGCGUUAGCUAGUUGGUAAGGUAACGGCUUACCAAGGCGACGAUGCAUAGCCGAGUUGAGAGACUGAUCGGCCACAUUGGGACUGAGACACGGCCCAAACUCCUACGGGAGGCAGCAGUAGGGAAUCUUCCACAAUGGACGCAAGUCUGAUGGAGCAACGCCGCGUGAGUGAAGGAGGUUUUCGGAUCGUAAAGCUCUGUUGUUGGUGAAGAAGGAUAGAGGUAGUAACUGGCCUUUAUUUGACGGUAAUCAACCAGAAAGUCACGGCUAACUACGUGCCAGCAGCCGCGGUAAUACGUAGGUGGCAGGCGUUGUCCGGAUUUAUUGGGCGUAAAGCGAGCGCAGGCGGAAAAAUAAGUCUAAUGUGAAAGCCCUCGGCCUAACCGAGGAACUGCAUCGGAAACUGUUUUUCUUGAGUGCAGAAGAGGAGAGUGGAACUCCAUGUGUAGCGGUGGAAUGCGUAGAUAUAUGGAAGAACACCAGUGGCGAAGGCGGCUCUCUAGUCUGCAACUGACGCUGAGGCUCGAAAGCAUGGGUAGCGAACAGGAUUAGAUACCCUGGUAGUCCAUGCCGUAAACGAUGAGUGCUAAGUGU
rnacentral:rRNA from 1 species